AUACUUAGCUUGCAGUGGAGACACUGAUUAGGAAGGCGGUUAUAUUUGGCAUGUGCUAAUUGCUAUGAUAUUCCAAAAUGUUGGAUACUUGACAGCAUAAUUUGUGGUAGUGUGAGCUCUGUUCACACUCUCGCC
rnacentral:snRNA from 1 species